UACGUAGGCAGCAAGCGUUGUUCGGAAUUACUGGGCGUAAAGAGUGUGUAGGCGGUGCUCUAAGUUCGGUGUGAAAUCUCCCGGCUCAACUGGGAGGGUGCGCCGAAAACUGGAGUGCUGGAGCGCGGGAGAGGAAAGCGGAAUUCCUGGUGUAGCGGUGAAAUGCGUAGAUAUCAGGAGGAACACCGGCGGUGUAGACGGCUUUCUGGACCGUAGCUGACGCUGAGACACGAAAGACGUGGGUAGCAAACAGG
rnacentral:rRNA from 1 species